rnacentral:misc_RNA from 1 species
CAUAAAUCAGAUAUCAUAAACUGAUAAACACUAAUUGUUUGCUCGGCAAUUUGUACUAGGUAAAGUAUAUCAAAUUUAGCAAGAAAACAGGAAAGAACUGAGAGAAGUGCCAGAAAAAAAAUCUAGAAAGGCCAUAAGACAAAACAUAUACAAAUAACAGUUAAGCAAAUGCCAAAACAAAAUGCUCAAUACAAUGGGAUAGGAAGUGACAUCAUGGUAAAUGAGUUCAACAAACUGAGUAAAAUCACGUGCAACUCUAUCCCCACCAACCCAUUUCUCCUCAGAAAAAGAGAGAAAGGUCAUGAUGCAG